rnacentral:rRNA from 1 species
AUACGUAGGUGGCGAGCGUUAUCCGGAAUUAUUGGGCGUAAAGGGCGCGCAGGCGGAUGAUUAAGUCUGAUGUGAAAGCUCACGGCUUAACCGUGGAGGGUCAUUGGAUACUGGUCGACUUGAGUGCAGUAAAGGGAAGCGGAAUUCCAUGUGUAGCGGUGAAAUGCGUAGAGAUAUGGAGGAAUACCAGUUGCGAAGGCGGUUUCCUGGGCUGUAACUGACGCUGAGGCGCGAAAGUGUGGGGAUCAAACAGGAUUAGAUACCCUGGUAGUCCACGCCGUAAACGAUGAGUGCUAAGUGUUUGGGGUCGACACUCAGCGCUGAAGUGAACGCAUUAAGCACUCCGCCUGGGGAGUACGGUCGCAAGGCUGA